rnacentral:rRNA from 1 species
CAGUCGCCGCGGGAAUACGGAGGGUGCGAGCGUUAAUCGGAUUUACUGGGCGUAAAGCGUGCGUAGGCGGCUUUUUAAGUCGGAUGUGAAAUCCCUGAGCUUAACUUAGGAAUUGCAUUCGAUACUGGGAAGCUAGAGUAUGGGAGAGGAUGGUAGAAUUCCAGGUGUAGCGGUGAAAUGCGUAGAGAUCUGGAGGAAUACCGAUGGCGAAGGCAGCCAUCUGGCCUAAUACUGACGCUGAGGUACGAAAGCAUGGGGAGCAAACAGGAUUAGAUACCCCAGUAGUCCCUGUCUCUUAUAC